rnacentral:pre_miRNA from 1 species
AGCUUUUCGAAACCGUGCUGAGAUUUCGCCAGACCCCAACCCAUUAGGGCUGAUCAGACUUGUAAGAUAAGUGAAGUU